rnacentral:lncRNA from 7 species
UGUUUUGCUGGUGAUACUGGGCUUGACCCUGUUCCCCAGAGGUCCUUCCACUGCUCCAUCCAGCCUGGCCCGGCCACAGCCACAGGACUCCACCUAUGAGAACUUUGAUCGCAGUUGCAGCCUGCCAACAGAACAACCUGCAGCAAGAUGCAGCUGAGGACCUGGGCUGUCCCACCCGCACCCACUUGCAUGGUCUGAACCUCUGCUCUGUCCAAAGCCGGAUCAUCUUAGGGUGACUUUUCUCACUGAAUGUAAGACUGCUGUUGACUGAUGCACAGGUCAAGCGAGCCUUGUAGGUACAUGCCUUCCAUCUCUGGUGAAACAUGGCUUCUUGAUACGGGUAUUUUUGGAUGAAACCCCAUGCAGUAUCUGUCUCAUAUGAAAGGAGUUACAGAAAGAGACAUUUCAAUGGGAACUGGAGAUCAAGGCACCCAUGUUGUCCUGUCCAUCAACCUCUUUCCCCAAGGCAGGGAAGACAAACAAAGAAAAUAACUUUGAUGCCAUU